AUAAAUAUUGAGCUACUGGAAUCUCGAAUCUCAAAGACUCAGAAGAAUCAAUAGGAAUUUCCAAUUUGCAUCAGUAAAUCAGAUACUAUCUAGCAAUGGAACUUCAAUCAUCGUCAUUGAGAAGAAAAUGUUUACAUUUUUUGCUCAGACAGGGAUAACAAUAAUACUCAACCAUCAAAAAUUGAUGUCUGUAGGUGUCCUAAGAAAAUCAUCAUCACAAAAUGUAAACUUUAAAGUUUAGGAACUAAAACAAAAGGCAUUAUAAAAAUAUACUGCCAGUAGAGAGUUUCUUGUUCCAUCAAAUUAUAGCAACGUUCUCUUCAAUACCGAUUAGAGAAUAUACAAUCACUAUUGUACACACUAGUUGCAAAGUGAUUUUUUACAAUAGAACGAGACAAUAAAAUUGAGACAACAGUUUGCGCGGUUAUUUUUUUUUUGCAAAUGAAAGCUUGAGUCUGGUCGAAUUGUUUAAUAGAAAGUUGUCUAGUUUAGAGAUUGUAGUUGCUGCUUGUACUUGA
rnacentral:snRNA from 1 species